rnacentral:ncRNA from 2 species
AAAUGUUGAAUUAAUAUGUUUCGUAUAUACUCAGGAAUAGGGCCUGAGCGUUUCUACCGAGCUACCGUAAAUAGCUUGACUACGAAGGAAGUACGUCUUUAU